AAACAUCGCCUCCUGCAACAUUAAAGUAUAGGAGGUCUUACCUGCCCAGUGAUAAAUUAAACGGCCGCGGUAUUUUGACCGUGCGAAGGUAGCGCAAUCACUUGUCUUUUAAAUAGAGACCUGUAUGAAUGGUAGAACGAAGGCUUAACUGUCUCCCCUUUCAAGUCAAUGAAAUUGAUCUGCCCGUGCAGAAGCGGGCAUUAUAAUACAAGACGAGAAGACCCUUUGGAGCUUAAGAUAUACAAUCACCUGCAUCAAUAACUAACUAAAAUUAAAUUAAACCAAGCAAUGUCUGAUUAACAUCUUUGGUUGGGGCGACCACGGGAAAAAAUAAAACUCCCGCGUGGAAUGGGGUUAAUCCCUAAAUCUUAGAAAAACAUUUCCAGGCAUCAAAACAUUUGACCAUCAAGAUCCAGCCACAAACUGAUCAACGAACCAAGUUACCCAAGGGAUAACAGCGCAAUCCCCUUCUAGAGCCCCUAUCGAAAAGGGGGUUUACGACCUCGAUGUUGGAUCAGGACAUCCUAAUGGUGCAGCCGCUAUUAAGGGUUCGUUUGUUCAACGAUUAAAGUCCUACGUGAU
rnacentral:rRNA from 1 species